rnacentral:lncRNA from 1 species
GCGUGUAAGAAUCUAGACUAAGUCACUGUUUCACAUUUUGCCCGAAUUAAUUAGUGCUGAAAAUAAAAAAAGUCAGCAGUAUUAGAAAGAUGUCUGAAGACUUCCUACGCAUUUCGUUGUUUUCUCAAAUUCUUUAGAGACAACUUGGGAUAUUAUUAUGGAAGUUUUAAUUAGUUUAUGCCCAUAACCUAUUAUUAUUAAUUUGAGCCAAGUAGAAAAAGGGAAAGUAGGAGAUUUUAAACAUUGAAGGAAAACAAGUUGCUGGCCACAAUCUGCCAUAAACACAACUCGUAUAUCUUGCUAAUUAUUGGUGUCUAUAAGUUAGUUAAACGUCCCAAAUUCCCAAUAUAAUAAUAAUAAAACAAAAUUCAAAAUUUAUUGAAAAAUGUUCAUAUAAAACAAAAAACAGCCUUUCGCCAUUUUCUUCACUUAAAAAAAAAGCGAAAUUAUUCACGCUAGCUCUGUAAAAAUCAAAAGACUCGCCUUUUUCAGACUCCGCCAUAUUGGAGGAGUUGGCCCGGGCUAGAAGAGCUGAUCUUCACAUGAUGCACAAAUUCAACAAAAUAUGGCUAACAAAUUUGAGCAUUUUGACUCCCAGAAUGGAAAAGAAAUUGAAACCCAAAGAACUGGCCAUAUUAAUACUAGCUUUUGCGAAAACCUAAUUUUCGAUUUUUGUUUGUGUUUCUGUGAAUAUUUGCAGAGGACAUAGUACUGAUGAGACGCGAGACUGAAGGUUUGAAAAUAGACUCUGGAGCGCUAGU